rnacentral:snRNA from 1 species
GUACUUACCUGGUAGGGGAGAUUCCAUGAUUACGAGGUGGUUUUCCCAGGGGGAGGCUUAUCCACUGUACUCUGGAUGCACUGACCUCUGCGAUUUCCCCACGUGCGGGAAACUUGACUGCAUGAUUUGUAGUAGUGGGGGAAAAAAUAAAAAUUGUCCUUUU